rnacentral:lncRNA from 1 species
UCCUUCCUCCUCUCUUUUGACAGCGUCUCCCUCUUUCACCUCCACUGGAGUGUAGUGGUAUAGCUACAGCUCACUGCAGCCUUGACUUCCUGGCCUCAAGCCUUCCUCUUACCUCAGCCUCUAGAGCAGGUAAGACUACAGGCUUAAAGACCCUCCAGACACCAUGACUUUCCUUUUAUCACUGAGGUCUUAACUUCAAUGCUACCUCAUCAGGCCCAUGCUCAUGAUCAUAUUUCGGUAAUUGGAACACAGCCAUUCCAAGGCUUUUAGCAGUUUCUUGUACAUUAAUCAUCUUGUUCCUGUGUUCUCUUUAGGAGAAGCGGAACACCACAUCAGCAGUCUGACCACCCUGAGACUUCCAUGCUAUGAGGAAAUCCAAAAUAGCCAUUUAAAAUGUGAAGACAGUAUAUUUUUUAAAGAAAGCAAUACUGGCUAACUGUCAGUUGUUUUGACAUCCAAGUCUAGACACUAGCUAUGAAUGUGAAGAAGCCAUUCUGGACAUUCCAGACCCAGCAGAUGCCACAUGGAACAGUACUGAGGUCCAAAACACAUGGUUUUCCACCAUAUCCUGACAAUUGAACUACCCUGGCUGAAGCCCAGACAUCAUGGCACAAAGACAAGCUGUCAUCACUGAACCCUGACAAAGUUCUUGACCCACAGAAUUGUAAGCCUAAUAAAAGUGGAUUUUUAAAAAAAU